AGAAUCUUAUCUUAUCAAUGAAGGUGUUUGAUAUUGCUAAAGUAACUUGGUGAAAAAUUUGUUCUGUUGACACGUAAUAGAAAAAAUUAUUUGCUUCCUCAUUUUUGUAAGGUUUUCCUGUAUCAAUGACAGAGUACAGAAGAAUCAAAUUUACUGCUAAAUGAGAAGAAAAGUCACUAAAUAAGAGGGCGGUGAUAAGAUGUCUGUAAGAAGCACACGAAAAAAGAAGUCAGAGAGUUCAAGCAACAUUAUAAGAAUAACAGUUGUCGGGGAUGGAGAUACCGGAAAGACUUGUCUACUCAUUGUUUAUAAGGACAAAAAAUUUGAUGACAGAUAUGUACCUACGAUAUUCGAUGAAUAUUCGAUGACCAUUCCUAUCAAUUACGAGCCCUACACCAUUAUACUGUCGGAUACUGCGGGUCAAGAGGAAUACGACAAGCUACGCAGGAUGGCCUAUAGAUUCGCAGACGCUUUCCUACUAUGUUAUUCGACGACAGAAAGGAAUUCUUUUGAAAACAUCUCUCUAACAUGGGCACCAGAACUCAAAAGAUGUCGAGCCAAAGCCAACAUAAUUUUAGUAGCUACAAAAAUCGAUCUAUUAGCCCAAAGAAAAGUAACCACAGAGGAAGGUGAAGCACUAGCAAAAGAAAUCGGAGCCUCCGGAUUCAUCGAAACGUCAGCCAAAAGACAAUGGAAUAUCGACGCAGCCUUCCAGAUGGCGUUAUGGUCCGUAGUAUCCAGACGAAGACAGCAAACCAAACCAAAGCACCAAUGCCAUAUAUUGUGAUAUUUCAUGGACAAACUGGAUAUUUUGGUAUAACCAAACUGUUUAACUUUAUACCAACUACUGUAAGAACAUUAUUUAGCCAGUGGUUCUCUAAACAAAAUGCUUUACAUUAAUCUUUAUCUAUAUCUGCAGAAUGUGCCUUUGAAUUAGAACUUUUCUAGAAAUGUGCAAUAACCAUAUAAAUGUAAACUCAGCUAAAUACACCAUGUAUAAUCAAGACUUUAACAUAAUCAAUAUAACAAUGUUAUUUAUUGAGUAAGCAAUCAUCAUGUAUAUUUGACGAGUUCUAUGUCUUUUGUAAAAAUUAGUACGAAUUCUUUUACUUAGUAUAUAAGUGUUUUCUGUAUUUAUAUGAAAUUUUACUAAACGCUCUAAUAAACUAACUACUGUAUAUAACUCGA
rnacentral:misc_RNA from 1 species